ACUCCUACGGGAGGCAGCAGUGGGAAUAUUGGACAAUGGGCGCAAGCCUGAUCCAGCCAUGCCGCGUGAGUGAUGAAGGCCUUAGGGUUGUAAAGCUCUUUCGCUAGGGAAGAUAAUGACGGUACCUAGUAAAGAAGCCCCGGCUAACUUCGUGCCAGCAGCCGCGGUAAUACGAAGGGGCUAACGUUGUUCGGAAUUACUGGGCGUAAAGCGCGCGUAGGCGGAUUGGAAAGUU
rnacentral:rRNA from 1 species